GGCGGCAUAGCCAAGUGGUAAGGCAGAGGUCUGCAAAACCUCCAUCUCCGGUUCAAAUCCGGAUGCCGCCUCCA
rnacentral:tRNA from 1 species